CCCUUAGAUGUUCUGGGCCGCACGCGCGCUACACUGACGAUGGCAACGAGUUUUUCCUUCGCCGAAAGGUGUGGGUAAUCUUUUGAAACAUCGUCGUGCUGGGGAUAGAUCAUUGCAAUUUUUGAUCUUGAACGAGGAAUUCCUAGUAAGCGUGAGUCAUCAGCUCGCGUUGAUUACGUCCCUGCCCUUUGUACACACCGCCCGUCGCUACUACCGAUUGAAUGGUUUAGUGAGGACUCCUGAUUGGCGCCGCCGCCCCGGCAACGGAGCAGCGGACUGCCGAAAGUUGUUCAAACUUGAUCAUUUAGAGGAAGUAAAAGUCGUAACA
rnacentral:rRNA from 1 species